rfam:Nippostrongylus brasiliensis genome assembly, scaffold: NBR_scaffold0000978
ACAUCGGUAGCACAGUGGUCAGUGCAGUCUACCGGAAACAGAAGGACGCGGGUUCAAUUCAUGUCCGAUGUC